rnacentral:rRNA from 1 species
CACGGCCUACGGGGGGCAGCAGUGAGGAAUAUUGGUCAAUGGCCGCAGGGCUGAACCAGCCAAGUCGCGUGAGGGAUGACGGUCCUAUGGAUUGUAAACCUCUUUUGUCAGGGAGCAAAGGGCGCCACGUGUGGCGUUUUGCGAGUACCUGAAGAAAAAGCAUCGGCUAACUCCGUGCCAGCAGCCGCGGUAAUACGGAGGAUGCGAGCGUUAUCCGGAUUUAUUGGGUUUAAAGGGUGCGCAGGCGGCGAGUUAAGUCAGCGGUAAAAUUUCGUGGCUCAACCC